rnacentral:rRNA from 1 species
AAUGAACGUUGGCGGCGUGGAUUAGGCAUGCAAGUCGUGCGGCAGCAGGCCCCGCAAGGGGCGCUGGCGAGCGGCGAAAGGGAUAGUAAUGUGUGGAUACCUGCCCUGGGGACGGGGAUAGCUGCUGGAAACGGCAAUUAAUACCCGAUGAUGUCUCCGGACCAAAGGUGUAAUUCCGCCCUAGGAGGGGUCCACAUCCUAUUAGCUAGUUGGUGAGGUAACGGCUCACCAAGGCCACGAUGGGUAGCGGGUGUGAGAGCACGACCCGCAUCACUGGGACUGAGACACUGCCCAGACACCUACGGGUGGCUGCAGUCGAGGAUCUUCGGCAAUGAGCGAAAGCUUGACCGAGCGACGCCGCGUGCGGGAUGAAGGCCUUCGGGUUGUAAACCGCUUUCGGAGGGGAGGAAAUCUAGGGGGGAUCACCCCUUUAGUUGACCUAUCCUAGGAAGAAGGACGGGCUAAGUUCGUGCCAGCAGCCGCCGUAAAAC